UGGUAAUGCCGGAUGCUCCAUCACACCGCAUGGUGUGUUGGGAAAGCCUUUGCGGCAUGGGAUGGGGUCGCGUCCUAUCAGCUUGAUGGCGGGGUAACGGCCCACCAUGGCUUCGACGGGUAGCCGGCCUGAGAGGGCGACCGGCCACAUUGGGACUGAGAUACGGCCCAGACUCCUACGGGAGGCAGCAGUGGGGAAUAUUGCACAAUGGGCGCAAGCCUGAUGCAGCGACGCCGCGUGAGGGAUGGAGGCCUUCGGGUUGUAAACCUCUUUUGUUAGGGAGCAAGGCAUUUUGUGUUGAGUGUACCUUUCGAAUAAGCACCGGCUAACUACGUGCCAGCAGCCGCGGUAAUACGUAGGGUGCAAGCGUUAUCCGGAAUUAUUGGGCGUAAAGGGCUCGUAGGCGGUUCGUCGCGUCCGGUGUGAAAGUCCAUCGCUUAACGGUGGAUCCGCGCCGGGUACGGGCGGGCUUGAGUGCGGUAGGGGAGACUGGAAUUCCCGGUGUAACGGUGGAAUGUGUAGAUAUCGGAAAA
rnacentral:rRNA from 1 species